rnacentral:rRNA from 1 species
CCUACGGGAGGCAGCAGUGGGGAAUAUUGGACAAUGGGCGAAAGCCUGAUCCAGCAAUGCCGCGUGAGUGAUGAAGGCCUUCGGGUCGUAAAGCUCUUUUACCAGGGAUGAUAAUGACAGUACCUGGAGAAUAAGCUCCGGCUAACUCCGUGCCAGCAGCCGCGGUAAUACGGAGGGAGCUAGCGUUGUUCGGAAUUACUGGGCGUAAAGAGUACGUAGGCGGUUAUUCAAGUCAGAGGUGAAAGCCCGGGGCUCAACCCCGGAACUGCCUUUGAAACUAGAUAACUAGAGUCUUGGAGAGGUUAGUGGAAUUCCGAGUGUAGAGGUGAAAUUCGUAGAUAUUCGGAAGAACACCAGUGGCGAAGGCGACUAACUGGACAAGUACUGACGCUGAGGUACGAAAGCGUGGGGAGCAAACAGGAUUAGAUACCCUGGUAGUCCACGCCGUAAACGAUGAUAACUAGUUGUUCGGUCACUUGGUGUACUGAGUGACGCGAGCUACGACAUUAAGUUAUACCGUCCGUCGGGUAGGUACGGUCGCGAGAAGUUAAACUUAAAUAGUAAGUUAGUACGGACGUGAGACGUGCGACGACGACGACGAGGGAGGUAGG